UACGUAGGGUGCAAGCGUUGUCCGGAAUUAUUGGGCGUAAAGAGCUCGUAGGCGGUCUGUCGCGUCGGCUGUGAAAACCUGGGGCUCAACCCCAGGCCUGCAGUCGAUACGGGCAGACUAGAGUCCGGCAGGGGAGACUGGAAUUCCUGGUGUAGCGGUGAAAUGCGCAGAUAUCAGGAGGAACACCGGUGGCGAAGGUGGGUCUCUGGGCCGGAACUGACGCUGAGAAGCGAAAGCAUGGGGAGCGAACAGG
rnacentral:rRNA from 1 species